rnacentral:lncRNA from 1 species
UUAAAAUAAUGAUGCUGUAAAUAACAUGCAGAAUGUUGUAUAUCUUUUGACAUUUCUGAUACUGAGUCAUGAAUGAACCAAUGGAAUUCAAUGAUUUUAAAUGUUUGGUUAAAUACAGUACAUUUUUAACAUGUUGCAAUCUUCAAAACAGGUGAGGACAUUGAUACAUACGAUGAUUUGGCUGAUAGAACAUACCAAUAUUUGGCAGAUGAGGACAUUGAUAAAUACGAUGAUUUGGGUGAGAAA